rnacentral:rRNA from 1 species
GAUGAACGCUGGCGGCGUGCCUAAUACAUGCAAGUCGAGCGAACGGACGAGAAGCUUGCUUCUCUGAUGUUAGCGGCGGACGGGUGAGUAACACGUGGAUAACCUACCUAUAAGACUGGGAUAACUUCGGGAAACCGGAGCUAAUACCGGAUAAUAUUUUGAACCGCAUGGUUCAAAAGUGAAAGACGGUCUUGCUGUCACUUAUAGAUGGAUCCGCGCUGCAUUAGCUAGUUGGUAAGGUAACGGCUUACCAAGGCAACGAUGCAUAGCCGACCUGAGAGGGUGAUCGGCCACAUGGGAACUGAGACGCGGUCAAGACUCCUACGGGAGGCAGCAGUAGGGAAUCUUCCGCAAUGGGCGAAAGCCUGACGGAGCAACGCCGCGUGAGUGAUGAAGGUCUUCGGAUCGUAAAACUCUGUUAUUAGGGAAGAACAUAUGUGUAAGUAACUGUGCACAUCUUGACGGUACCUAAUCAGAAAGCCACGGCUAACUACGUG